CUGUUGUUCAUAAAUUUAUUUCUUCAAGUGUUGAUCUCACACUCUCAAAGUAAUUGUUACAAAAAUUUAUCAUAAAAAUUUUACAGUUUUUUUUUUCAAGUGUAACAUGUAACAAUAUAUGCAGACAGACACACACAUCCACACAUGCCAUAUCUGGACAUCCUCUCAUCAACAUCAAGCCACACAAUUUUUCUUUUAAUAGCCUUUGUACAUCAAAUGUAUGCCUACACUAAAAUGUAACCCCUAAAUAAUCAAAACAUUAAGAAUACAAAUUGAUUUAAAAAAAAAAAAAAAAGAAUAAAAUAUAACACUAAUAAUGUACAUCAUCUUGAUUACAAACAUCUGAAGUUGAAUCUUAAUUUAAAAAAAAACAAAAGACAUGUCUUGAAAUAGCCAAGUUAAAAAAAAAAUAAAAAAAAAA